rnacentral:piRNA from 1 species
UAAUGAGGUUCCCAUGCUGCGUCUAUUUC